UUCCUUAGAGUGGGGCCCCCAUGAAGAGUCUUCUCUACGCGUGCGUUGGGCACCACCUGGGGGACGACCCCAGCCCUCCUCUGCGGUUGCGCCAGCCUGGAAAACGUCGCGCCCCCGCCCCUAACGCAGUGAUUCCCUCCUGGCCUCAGGGUCCAGUGCAAAAAUUCACUUCCUUGGAGAUGGAGCCUUUUUCUCUGCAGCCUUCAAGAAAGCAGCUGGUGCAAAGAGGUCUUUCUAGAGACAUAACCUUGCGGAAAGGAAUCCCAAGUUUACCUGUGCACGUAUCAACGUCAGGCAACCCCCCUCCCCCGCCCACCAGGGCCGCCACUUCUUCUGUUUGUGGGCCAUCUAUGGAUUCUCGGAUCCCUUGUAGCAAUUCUGCAACAACACUAUCACCGCUACAGCUAUUCUAGAAAGUCGCUCUGGGAAGUGAGCCACAACUGUUUUAUUUAUCAAAUGGAUAGCUAGCUCCGGUGCCUUGUCAUUCACUGUCUCAUAUUUGCAAGCAACGUUACAAUUCUUAAAGGACUUUAGGGGGGAAGUAGUUAGUUCAAGGAAGAGCCAAAGCUGAUCAUUUCAUUGGAAUCUCCAACUGUCCUGUGUAAGAUGCGACUCCCAUAAAAUGGAAUGUGAGGGUUUCCCUGAGAGAGUUGCUGUGAGCGGAUGAAGCAGGAAAAGUGCUCCGUGCCUGGCUGGAGGUCCUCCGAGUGCUGGCAGCAGAAAAGUGCUUAUCCAGCAUGAUGCCCACAACGCACACAAGGCGAUGGUUUUAUAAAAUGCAAAGCUGGGCACCCAAGUAGAUAUCAAGACCACAAAGUCCGACGGCUUUGAAACCUACUCCAGCACAUUCUCACAUUCCUCUAUUUUACAGACAAGGGUAAUGAGCCCAAGAAUUACCGCCCUCCAGCUUCAGGGGAGUGAAAAAUGAAGGGUUGUUUUCCAAGUAAUGUGACGCCAGACAGCUGGCUCAACAGUCAACAGUGCCAGGCCUUCUGUGAAGGCCAGUGUCGGCCCCCACCUCCUUCUCACCACCGAAUGUCACGGUGCACCCCAAACCAGGGAAAUCUGUCCUUCUACAGGAUAUAUAACUGCGAGGGGAAAGCAGGUUUUACUGGCUUGUGGUUUCCUAGGCUCUUAGAAUGUUGAAUACAGCCUGUGCACUGGCAGCUGAAGAACUCGAGAGAAACCACGAUGUUGGAAUUGAUUAGUUCCUGUUGGUCCCCGUCUUCCGCCAAUAUCAGUACCUGUCUCUUGAUAAAUAGACACGUGAACACAGUCCCAACACAAGGUCCCUGACAGCAAGCAAUAAAAAUGUGCCUUGACCCACUGAAAUAAAUUGCACCAAAUGGAGUUAUUGUUUCCAUCUAUUAUUUAUUAGUCAUGUCCCAUGGAGCGACUGGUGAAAUAAAUAUUUUUUUUCCAUUGGAAAAUGAAUGUAUGACCUGUGAAGAAUAACUCCACAAUCAGAUGUAAUAACAAUCACAGAGCAACUAUUCUCCCUGGCUUGGACCAAAUUAAAUUCUCUCUGUCCUGAGCAAAAUUCCCUUUGCAGAUGAAUGUAUCUCUUUUCCCACUUGAUCUUUUCUCAAUUCCUACCUCAAAUUGUCUCUCUUUUCUGUUCUUUCCCUUUCUGGCCACCAGACCAAGUUAUCCAACAGUCCUCUCCA